ensembl:lncRNA
CUCGAGAUGCUCCGUUAUCAGCCAGCUUAGCACAACCGAAACGAUCGCUCUGUUAUUAACAACAGGGAUAGCUCUGCCGAAGCAGAGCCUCACAACAUUCCACGACACUCAAAAAUUGCCACGACAUUCGUGCUUGUUCUGCUUUUCACCUGCAGUGGUGAAAGGCUCCACCAAAGGGAAGCCUCCGAAAACCCCAUGGCACUCAGAAACCCCACGACACUCGUGCUGUUGUUUCUACCCAGCAAUGGGAUAGCUCUGUGGAAGGGAAAUCUCAAUCCCACGACACUCGUGCUCGUCCUAUAGCUCGGUCUGAGUGGAGAUUCCAGACGUUCUGUGACACUCGUGCUUGUUCUGCUAUUCACCAGCAGUGAGUAGCUCCACCAAGGGGAAGCCUCCAAAAUGCCACGACACUGAAAAGAUGCCACGACAUUCGUGCUUGUUCUGCUUCUCACCUGCAGUGGUGAAAGGCUCCACUGAAGGGAAGCCUCAUAAAACCCCACGGCACUCAGAAACCCCACGACACUCGUGCUCGUGCUACCCAGCAAUGGGAUAGCUCUCUGGAAGGGAAAUCUCAAUCCCACGACACUCGUGCUUGUCCUAAAGCUCGGUCUGAGUGGAGAUUCCAAAAGCUUUGUGACACUCGUUCUGUCAUUAACAAUGACAGGGAUAGCUCUGCCGAAGCAGAGCAAGAGAACAUUCCACGACACUCAAAAAUUCUCACGACAUCCGUGCUUGUUCUGCUUCUCACCUGCAAUGGUGAAAGGCUCCACUGAAGGGAAGCCUCCGAAAACCCCACGGCACUCAGAAAUCCCACGACACUCGUGCUGGUUUCCACCCAGCAGGGCGAUAGCUCUGCAGAAGGGAGGCCUCCAAAAGCCCCACGGCACUCGCGCUCGCCCUGCUGUAAUCCAGCAAUAGCAACCCCGGGCUAAGGGGAGGCUCCAUGAGCUCCACCACACUCGUGCUUGUUCUGUCAUUAACCACAACAGGGAUAGCUCCGCCGAAGCGGAGCCUCAAAAAAUUCCACGACACUCGUGCUUGUUCCUCUCCACGGAAAUCUUUAGUAAAAGGCGAAAG